UUUAACACUGGAAGAGAACUCAAACUACAAAUUCACACAAUCUACAAAUCUGAUUGGAGCAGGAGACUUUCUGUGUGGGCGUGACUAAGUGAUACAGGGGUGACUGGGCCGGAGGGAUGAAGGGAAUCUCCUGUUAGUGCAGUGCCGGAGUCUGAGGGGAACAUGGAGAGAGCGAGAGAUGAGAAGAACAUCAAACAUCAGAUUAACAUCUCCAAUACAGUGUUUCUGCUUAUCACUGUCCUCCAGGCCGGUUCCGGCGAUGCCGCUGCCCUCCAAGCCGUACAGUGGAUCUGGUCUGCCGCUCACCCG